rnacentral:rRNA from 1 species
UCCAAUCGAACUCGGAGAUAGCUGGUUCUCCCCGAAAUAGCUUUAGGGCUAGCCUUGGAUGAUGAGCUUUGGAGGUAGAGCACUGAAUGGACUAGGGGCUGUAUAAGCUACCAAACCCUAUCAAACUCCGAAUGCCAAAGUUUUAAUCCAGGAGUCAGACUACGAGUGAUAAGAUCCGUGGUCAAAAGGGAAACAGCCCAGACCAUCAGCUAAGGUCCCAAAAUGCAGAUUAAGUGGUAAAGGAGGUGAGAUCUCAAAGACAACCAGGAUGUUGGCUUAGAAGCAGCCAUACAUUCAAAGAGUGCGUAAUAGCUCACUGGUCGAGAGGUCUUGCACCGAAGAUGUCCGGGGCUCAAAUCUGCUACCGAAGCUAUGGAUGUACGAAAAUACGUGGUAGGGGAGCAUCGUAUACGGAGCGAAGCCAUAUCGUAAGGAGUGGUGGACUGUAUACGAGAGAGAAUGCUGGCAUAAGUAACGAAAGAUAGGUGAGAAUCCUAUCCAUCGAAAACCUAAGGUUUCCUGAGGAAGGUUCGUCCACUCAGGGUUAGUCGGGACCUAAGUCGAGGCCGAAAGGCGUAGAUGAUGGACAAUCGGUUGAAAUUCCGAUACCACCUUUAAGCGUUUAAGAAAAGGGGUGACGCAGGAGGAUAAGCUGAGCGCACGGAUGGAAAAGUGCGUCUAAGAACUAAGUCAGACCUUCAAGGAAAAUCCGGGAGGUGACGAUAAGGUUUAAUGGGGAGCCGUAAGGCGAAGCAGCUGAAUUCACACUGCCAAGAAAAGCCUCUAUCGAGCAAGAAGGUGCCCGUACCGCAAACCGACACAGGUAGGUGAGGAGAGAAUCCUAAGAUGAGCGAGAGAACCCUUGUUAAGGAACUCGGCAAAUUAACCCCGUAACUUCGGGAGAAGGGGUACUCAAAAGAGUCGCAGUUAAAAGGCCCAAGCAACUGUUUAGCAAAAACACAGGUCUCUGCUAAGUCGCAAGACGAUGUAUAGGGGCUGACGCCUGCCCGGUGCUGGAAGGUUAAGGGGAGAGGUUAGCGAAAGCGAAGCUUUGAACUUAAGCCCCAGUAAACGGCGGCCGUAACUAUAACGGUCCUAAGGUAGCGAAAUUCCUUGUCGGGUAAGUUCCGACCCGCACGAAUGGCGUAAUGACUUGGGCACUGUCUCAACAAGGGACUCGGUGAAAUUGUAGUACCGGUGAAGAUGCCGGUUACCCGCGAUUAGACGGAAAGACCCCGUAGAGCUUUACUGUAGCUUAUCAUUGAGUUUCGGUAUUGUCUGUACAGGAUAGGUGGGAGGCUUAGAAGUAGGGGCGUCAGCUUCUAUGGAGCCAACGUUGGGAUACCACCCUGACAGUACUGAAACUCUAACCGGAGGCUUUGAAACAAGUCACGGGACAUUGUUAGGUGGGCAGUUUGACUGGGGCGGUCGCCUCCUAAAAAGUAACGGAGGCGCCCAAAGGUUCCCUCAGCGCGGUUGGAAAUCGCGCGCAGAGUGCAAAGGCAGAAGGGAGCCUGACUGCGAGACAAACAAGUCGAGCAGAGACGAAAGUCGGGCUUAGUGAUCCGGUGGUUCCGAGUGGAAGGGCCAUCGCUCAACGGAUAAAAGCUACCUCGGGGAUAACAGGCUGAUCUCCCCCAAGAGUCCACAUCGACGGGGAGGUUUGGCACCUCGAUGUCGGCUCGUCGCAUCCUGGGGCUGAAGUAGGUCCCAAGGGUUGGGCUGUUCGCCCAUUAAAGCGGUACGCGAGCUGGGUUCAGAACGUCGUGAGACAGUUCGGUCCCUAUCUGUCGCGGGCGUAGGAAAUUUGAAAGGAGCUGUCCUUAGUACGAGAGGACCGGGAUGGACAGACCUAUGGUGUACCAGUUGUCACGCCAGUGGCACCGCUGGGUAGCUAUGUCUGGAAGGGAUAAGCGCUGAAAGCAUCUAAGCACGAAGCCCACCUUAAGAUAAGAUUUCCCAUUAAGGUUCCUUAAAGAACAUGAGGUUGAUAGGUCGGAGGUGUAAGUACUGUGAGGUACUCAGCUGACCGAUACUAAUAGGCCGAGUGCUUGAUCAU